rnacentral:rRNA from 1 species
GACGAACGCUGGCGGCGUGCUUAACACAUGCAAGUCGAACGGAAAGGCCCUGCUUUUGUCGGGUGCUCGAGUGGCGAACGGGCGAGUAACACGUGAGUAACCUGCCCUUGACUUUGGGAUAACUUCAGGAAACUGGGGCUAAUACCGGAUAGGAGCUCCUGCUGCAUGGUGGGGGUUGGAAAGUUUCGGCGGUUGGGGAUGGACUCCGGGCUUAUCAGUUAGUUAGUGGGGGAGUGGCUUACCCAGGCUUUGACGGGUAGCCGGCAUGAGAGGGUGACCGGGGUCAUUGGUACUGAGGUACGGCUCAGUCGCCAACAGUGGACAAAAGAGGGGAGUAUUGCGCAGUGGUGCCAAGCCUGAGGCGGCAACGCCUCGUGCGGGAUGUCGGCCUUCGGGGUAUAAACCGCUUACAGCUGUGACGAAGCGUGAUUGACGGUAAUGGGUAAAGAAGCACCGGCUAACUACGUG